rnacentral:tRNA from 1 species
GCUGUUUUGGCUCAGUGGAUAGAGCGUCAGACUGUAGACUGAAGGGUCACAGGUUCAAUUCCAGUCAAGGGCA